rnacentral:rRNA from 1 species
UACGGAGGGUGCAAGCGUUAAUCGGAAUUACUGGGCGUCACGCGCCCGCCGGCGGUCACUUCCGUCAGCUGUGACCGCCCCGAGCUUACCUUGGGAAUUGCCUCUGAAACUGGUUGGCUAGCGUCUUGUAGAGGGGGGUAGAAUUCCAUGUGUCGCGGUGAAAUGCGUAGAGAUGUGGAGGAAUACCGGUGGCGAAGGCGGCCCCCUGGACAAAGACUGACGCUCAGGUGCGAAAGCGUGGGUAGCAAACAGG